GGGCUAGCGUUGCUCGGAAUGACUGGGCGUAAAGGGCGCGUAGGCGGAUGGUACAGUCAGAUGUGAAAUUCCCGGGCUUAACCUGGGGGCUGCAUUUGAUACGUGUUGUCUAGAGUGAGGAAGAGGGUCGUGGAAUUCCCAGUGUAGAGGUGAAAUUCGUAGAUAUUGGGAAGAACACCGGUGGCGAAGGCGGCGACCUGGUCCUUUACUGACGCUGAGGCGCGAAAGCGUGGGGAGCAAACAGG
rnacentral:rRNA from 1 species